UACGUAGGUGGCAAGCGUUGUCCGGAUUUAUUGGGUUUAAAGGGUGCGUAGGCGGCCCUGUAAGUCAGUGGUGAAAUACUCCAGCUUAACUGGAGGGGUGCCAUUGAUACUGCAGGGCUUGAGUGGAGUCGAAGUAGGCGGAAUUGACGGUGUAGCGGUGAAAUGCUUAGAUAUCGUCAAGAACACCGAUAGUGAAGACAGCUUACUAGGCUUCUACUGACGCUGAGGCACGAAAGUGUGGGGAGCGAACAGG
rnacentral:rRNA from 1 species